AACGCACCUUGCGCUCCUUGGUAUUCCGAGGAGCAUGCCUGUUUGAGUGUCAUUAAAUUCUCAACCUCACCAGUUUUGUCACCGAAACUGUGUGAAGGCUUGGAUGUGGAGGUUUUUGCAGGCUGCCUCUGUGCGGUCUGCUCCUCUGAAAUGCAUUAGCGAGUUUCACUAAGCUCCGUCUAUUGGUGUGAUAAUUAUCUACGCCGUGGAAGGGGUUUAGACUUGCUUCUAACCGUCCGCAAGGACAACACUUUGACAAUUUGACCUCAAAUCAGGUAGGACUACCCGCUGAACUUAA
rnacentral:misc_RNA from 1 species